UCAUUCCUGCUCUUCUCCAUGGACCACUUUGACCAGCUGAAAGAACAACACCCAAACUGGACUGUGGCGGAGGUGGCCAAGACUUCCGGAAGGAUGUGGUCCAGGUCUACCAAUGUGGACAAAAUUCCCUAUGAAGAGAAGGUUGAACUUUUGUGGGCAAAAUACCUUGAAGAGCGGGAGGUCUACUACCACCAAUGACAGCACAGGAAGAAAAACUUGUAGGGAUGGGGCAAGCCCAGCCUAAAAUAAUAAAACAUCAUUCAACUGCCAAAAA
rnacentral:lncRNA from 1 species